rnacentral:rRNA from 1 species
AUUGAACGCUGGCGGCAGGCUUAACACAUGCAAGUCGAGCGGUAACAGAGAUAGCUUGCUAUCUGCUGACGAGCGGCGGACGGGUGAGUAAUGCUUGGGAAUAUGCCUUUGAGUGGGGGACAACAGUUGGAAACGACUGCUAAUACCGCAUAACGUCUACGGACCAAAGGGGGGGAUGCUUCGGCACCUCUCGCUCAUUGAUUAGCCCAAGUGAGAUUAGCUAGUUGGUAAGGUAAUGGCUUACCAAGGCGACGAUCUCUAGCUGGUUUGAGAGGAUGAUCAGCCACACUGGGACUGAGACACGGCCCAG